GACGAACGCUGGCGGCGUGCUUAACACAUGCAAGUCGAACGGAAAGGCCCUGCUUGCAGGGUACUCGAGUGGCGAACGGGUGAGUAACACGUGGGUGAUCUGCCCUGCACUUCGGGAUAAGCCUGGGAAACUGGGUCUAAUACCGGCUAGGAGCCAUUUUUAGUGUGAUGGUUGGAAAGUUUUUUCGGUGUAUGCUGAGCUCGGGCGCUGUCAGCUUGUUGGUUGGGUAAUGGCCUACCAAGGCGGCUACGGGUAGCCGACCUGAGAGGGUGGACGGCCACACGGGAUGGGAGACACGGUCGAGACUCAUACGGGAGGGAGCAGUAGGGAAUCUUCCGCAGUGGGCGAGAUCCUGACGGUGCGACGCCGCGUGAUUGCUGAAGGGCUUCGGAUCGUAAAGCUCUGUUAUUAGGGAAGAACAAGUGUGUAAGUAACUAUGCACGUCUUGACGGGACCUAAUAAGAGAGCCACGGCUAAGUACGUG
rnacentral:rRNA from 1 species